UGGUCCUGUUAAUGCAGGUACUGGUCCUGUUAAUGCAGGUACUGGUCCUGUUAAUGCAGGUACUGGUCCUGUUAAUGUAGGUACUGGUCCUGUUAAUGCAGGUACUGGUCCUGCUGGUCC